AUGAGCACCAUGGCGAUGUCGGCGCUGAACCCGGACGCGCCCAUGUUCAUCCCGGCGGCGUUCAAGAAGGUGGAGGACUACUCGCCCGAGUGGUGGGAGCUGGUCAAAACCACCGCCUGGUUCCGCGACCACUGGUUCCGCCAGCACCAGCUCUACGAGGACCUCGCCGACGACGUCGACGACGUCGCCGCCCUCCUCCCCGACGACUCCGUCGACCUCCUCGACGCCGACGACCUCUUCUACUCCCCGCCGUCGCCCCAGCCCCAGCCCGACUUCUACCACUACAAACCAGCAGGUACGGUUCGGUACACCUCUCACCGUCUCCUCCUCGCCAGAGCAGCAGAGGUAGUAUGGCAGCAGCGGGAAGCUAACCGGGAUCGCUCUGAAUUUGCAGGGUUCGGCGGCGACAUGGACGCGGUGCUGAAGACGCUGAGCCUGAACUCGCCGAGGGGCGGUGGCCCGGCACCAGCCUGGGCGCCGAUGAGGCACGCCGAGAAGCCGGCGCAGCACGUCAGCCCCAGGGCCGGCGGCGGCGCCCGCCGCGCCAUCCACCAGCCUCGCUAG
rnacentral:rRNA from 1 species